UACGUAGGGGGCAAGCGUUGUCCGGAUUUACUGGGUGUAAAGGGUCCGCAGGCGGGCGUGUAAGUCGGUGGUGAAAUCCUUCAGCUUAACUGAAGAACUGCCUCCGAUACUACACGUCUUGAAUUCAGGAGAGGGUAACGGAAUUCCAGGUGUAGCGGUGAAAUGCUUAGAUAUCUGGAAGAACACCGGUUGCGAAGGCUGUUACCUGGCCUGUAAUUGACGCUCAGGGACGAAAGCGUGGGGAUCAAACAGG
rnacentral:rRNA from 1 species